rnacentral:rRNA from 1 species
UACGGGGGGGGGCAAGCGUUGUUCGGAAUUACUGGGCGUAAAGGGCUCGUAGGCGGCCAACUAAGUCAGACGUGAAAUCCCUCGGCUUAACCGGGGAACUGCGUCUGAUACUGGAUGGCUUGAGGUUGGGAGAGGGAUGCGGAAUUCCAGGUGUAGCGGUGAAAUGCGUAGAGAUCAUGAGGAAGACCAGUGGCGAAGGCGGGUCUCUGGACAGUUCCUGACACUGAGACACGAAGGCCAGGGGAGCAAACGGG